UUAUGUUGAAACACCAACAGAACAACCAGCCAACAGAACUAAGUGUUGAAUCCUGCUGCUUCUCAGCAUCUAUCUACUGAAUUUUAAGACCAGAACUCAUUUGGAAUUAUGAAAAUCCCAAUGCUAAUUUUGCUGAUUUCACCUGAGAAAAACAUCCUUCAUUAUUUCCCAUCUGUAACUCUGAAAGGGGAAUUUAAUUAUACUGUGUGGGGUUACCUGUUUUGCAGGUGUGCAGCCACUGAGACUAUGGCUCUAGCAGUCUUCUGCUGAAGUCCUAAAACAUCUGAUGCUGUAUUUGCACAGAAACAGAGCUAUGUUUGAGCAAGAUACUCAGUAAAAGUGUAGUAUUUAAACCUAAGACAGCAAGUUUGAUCAUGGGAUAUUAUCUAGAAGAAAUGUUAUAGUAGAAGAUUGUGUGGUUCUCUGACACAGCACCAGACUCAGCAGGUGUAGAACAAUCCGUGUGCAAGCCAUGAUUUGUCUUUGUCAAAAAGGUUUGAAAAAUGGUAAA